rnacentral:lncRNA from 1 species
AGUAUGUACCUGUAAAAUCAACAUGGAUUAAGGACAAAAAUGGACACAAUGUAACCAAAGUGAUCUCCUACGUAGUUGAUCUGAUAAAUAAUGCAGGCAACAGUAAUUAAAACAGCUGACCAAUUUGAUGGUUUCAAGAUAAAAGAGUUGCUUUAUGGACUUCAUAAAAUAUGGUCAGUACACACUAUAAGGUAUUUUUCUUUUAAACACUUCAGAAUCAAUACCUCUAUAGUAUCUCAAGGUUAUUCAGGUUGUCUCCAUUUCAUGUAUUCUAGAAUGUCAUUAUUGACUUUGCACUUGACAUUCUUCCCUGUGUCUGUUAGACUGGCCUUGGCAGCAAAGAAAGGCCAUAUGGUGCCCAUCCAUAUGGAUAGGCUGGCUGGAUUUUAGAAUCUUAUUCCCUACUGAUGUUCCUGUUGUGUGAACAGAAUAACUUCUAUUUAAGAGUAAAACAUGUGGGAUUCCAGCCUUGCAUAUUGUAUCAGUUAGAAAAUGUGCUCAAUUGUGAGGAGCAGAGACCUGAAAACAGGGCUUAAACACACUAGAUGUGGUACAGGGGCUCUGCAACCUCAUUGUAGACUUUCCAUCCCUCUUCUCUGACAUCUUUGAGUUGUGACUCCUUUCCUCAAGGCUGCCUCAUACAUAUAAAGUGGCUACUAGAACUCCAAACGGCAUUUUCUCAUUCCUAGUAGGAAGAAGGGAAAACACAAGGAACAAAAGGAGCAUGCCAGCUGAGUCAUUGCCUAUUUUUAAGGAGCAUUACCAGAAGACACACCCAACAACUUAUGUUUGCAUCUCAUUGGCUAGGAUUUAGUCUUAUGCACCUCUCAUCUUCUAGGAAUCCUGGGAAAUCUAGUAUAUUUUAGGAAAAGAAGAUUUGGUGUCUACACUGCUAGUACUCCAGUUCAGCUUUCGCUGACCAUGACUCUAUUUGGCUAACUGCACAGAUUUGCUGAUAGCUCACCAGUUAUCAGCUACUCUGCUAAAUGAAUAGAAUGAACCAGACACAGUCUUCACGCUGUGGCAGCUCUCAGUCUAAUGUCAGGGAGGCAAGCAAGUGAACCAGACAGAACAAUACUGUGCGAUGAGCAUCAAACAUGUUGAAAGAACAUGACAGAAGCAUAUGCUCAUUCAAAGGAGGAGCCGGAGCUUCUAGUAAAAGCCAACAGAGAGGGGCAGCUGGAAAGAGGAGAAGAGGAUUAGAAGAGCUUUUCCUCAGUGGCAUUUUUGAGACUUCAAAAUGCUCUUAGAAGCUACUUAACAACAAAAUCAGUUGAUCCCAUUGUUGCAGCUCAGAAUUCUGUUUCAGUAUAUCGCAGCUGAGUAAGGAAGCUAAGGCGCUGGAGUGGUAUUAAUGCAUCACCCAUGGAUAUGUCCAAAAGCUCUUAAUUAUAGCACCUUAAAGAAGUCUUACAAAAAUCCUCCAGCCUUCCACAAGACCUGGGUCUCCUGGGGCCAGGACCACCAAAGAGAAAAUAAAAUCCCAGAUCUCUGAGGGUCUCACCAAGUUGUA